rnacentral:tRNA from 1 species
AGGCUGAAGCCCGCUGGAUAGGGUGACUAGUUGUUAACUGGGUUUUUACGGGAUCGAGGCCCGUCGGCCUAG